AUGGACGAGGCCUGUGACCUCACGGUGCACGUCAAUGGCCGCCACACGCUCCUUCUCCACCAGAGCGUCGUGUGCGCCUUCUCCGGGAGGCUGAGGGCGAUGGCGGCGCGGGAGAGGAAGGGGAAGAUGACGAGGGUGAGGCCGGGCAGAGGAGCGGCGGAGGCGUUGAUGUCUGUUGAGCUCGACGGCUUCCCGGGAGGCGGCGAGGGGUUCGAGCUCGUGGCGCGGUUCUGUUAUGGUGAUGGCCGCCUCCCGCCGCUCCGCCCCGCCGACGUCCCGCUCCUGCACUGCGCCGCGGCGUUCUUGGAGAUGACGGAGGAGGUGCGCGCCGGCAACCUGCUAGCUCAGGCGGAGGCCUUCGUGGACGACGGGCUCUGCUACGGGACGUGGGCCGACGUGCUCGCCGCCGUCAAGUCCUGCGAGUCCUUUGCCGCCGACGCCUCCGGGCUACAAGAGAAGCUGCUCUCGGCUCUGUUCUCCAGGAUCGACGCGGGCGCGGAGACGCCCAAGUCGAACUGCUCCACGUCGUCGACGUGCUCGUCCUCGUCGCAGGAGACGGUCGGUGGCCGGCCGUCGUCCGCGGCCAAGACGCCGGAGUCGGUGAAGCCGUCGUGCCUGAGCGGCGGCCGGGAGUGGUGGUACGACGACGUGGCGUCGCUGUCCCCGCCGACCGUCGAGAAGGCCAUGAAACUGCUCGGCUGCUACGGCGCCGACAACAGGAACCUCACGCUGACGCGGUUCCUGCUGCACUACCUCCGCCGCGCCGCCACGCUCCGCAAGGCCGGCGACUCGGGCGGCAACAUCCUCGCCGGCCUGGCCGACACGGCCGUGCACGGCGUGGCGCUCGCCGGCGGCGGCGCGGCGUUCUCCUGCCGCGGCCUCUUCGGGGCGCUCCGGACCGUGUCGGCGGCGGGGCUGGGCAGGGAGUGCCGGCGCAGGCUGGAGACGCUGGUGGGGCGGAUGCUGGACCAGGCCACGCUCGACGACCUCCUCGUGUCCGGCGACGGCGGCGGCGUGUACGACGUGAGCCUGGUCAUGCGGCUCGUGAGGGUGUUCGUGAGCUCCGUGGAGGAGGACGGCUCGCCGUUGUCGACGCAGAGGAUGCGGAAGGCGGGGAGGCUGGUGUACAAGUACCUGGCGGAGAUCUCGCCGGACCAGGGGCUGCGGGUGUCCCGGUUCCUCGCCGUCGCCGAGAGCCUGCCGGACUCCGCCAGGGACUGCUACGACGGCGUGUACAGGGCACUGGACAUCUACCUCGGGUCGCAUGCCGAGCUGACCGUCGAGGAGCGUGCGACGUUGUGCCGGUGCCUCAACUACGAGAAGCUGACCCUCGAGGCGUGCAAGGAACUUGCGAGGAACCGGCGGAUCCCUCCGAGGAUCGCCGUGCAAGCAUUGUCCUUGCAGCGGCCACUCAAUGCACACCAGAGCCCCUUGUCGUCGCCUACACCGAAGCGGGUCGUGUCAGAUGACGAGAAGGAGAAGGAGACGCUGAGGAUGAACCUGCGGCGGAUGCAGGGCCGGGUGGCGGAGCUGGAGAUGGUGUGCAAAGAAAUGAGAGGGAAGACGAGGUUGUCGCCCCGGGCUGCGGCCAAGGGUAACAAGGCCUUGGGUGGCAGGGGCUUGCCUUGGAUGUGCUAG
rnacentral:rRNA from 1 species